CCACCCUCCAGGUUCUGGUUUCUUCUCUGAGAACCUAACUCUUUCCCUAAUGGCUAAUAUCAGGAAAAUCCACUUCCUUCUGGACAGACUCCAGCUCCUACCUACAGAGUUAGUCAUUAUUCUAUGGUCUCAAUAGGACAAAUGAUCUGAGGUACCACACAACAAAAACCUAUAGGUGAGGCACCCAAAGGGUGAGGUAAAGGAUGGCUAGAUUUGAAACCAAUAUGGUAGAAGGUCUGUGACUAAAACUAGAGCCAAAAUGUAGAAAGAGUAUCUGUUCCACCUGCUGCUUGCUGACAUUUAUAGGCCAAAUUCCUCACCCCUCCUGGAUCCAUGUCUUUUGCAUGUGACUUUGCACUUCCUCCCAUUAAAGAGGCUGAAUAUAUUUUGCCAGCCCCUGACUUGGAUUCAGCCAUGUGACUUGCUUUGACUAAAGUAAUGUUUCUUGUGUAACUGGGCUUUCUGUCUUGUACCUCUGGCAUUGCUGUGAGAAGAACAUGCUUGCCAGUCUCAGGAAGAAGACGAGAAACACAGGAAGCAGAGACAAACUGCCCCAGCCAGGCCCAGCCUCCAUCAAGCCAAUCCCCAGCCAACUCCCAAAUAUGUAAACAAGCGCAGACAAAAUCUGCGAAGUUACCCAGGAAGAUGGCAUUCCCAGCCUCCCCUGCAGUGAGGUGGAGCCAUGUGACUGAGUUCCAGCUAACGGCAUGUGAGUGAAGGUGCCCCCUAUCUCAACUCUCAUUGGACUAUGAUGUGAGAAGAAGCCUUUGUUGUGUUAAGCCACCGAGAUUUGCAAGCUGUUUGUUACAACAGCUUAUGUUGGAGGAGGCAAUCAAGAGGAUGUGACCAUGGUUGGCCCUCAAGCUGAAUCCUGGCACGGCACUCGGGGGCUCCUUACCCCUCCUCUUUCCUUGGAAUGUACGCUCUGCCCACUGUUCCCACAGUGGGAACUGUUCCAAAGACACAGCCUGGAGAGGGUAGGGUGUGGCUGAGACCAUGUGGAUUGUGUACGUGACUAAACCCAGUUCAGGCCUCCCUGUAAGCUUUUAAGAUUUUGGUGGGCAGGUACGGAGAUAUACUCAUCUUGCAGCUGCCCAAGACAAGCCUCGUUUGUAAGUUCCCUUGCUUUUAAACCCACCACCUGCCAAUCUGGAGUGGUCUGCCUCUUUCUUUGGUCUCUCCUUACCCUCCGUGUCUGGGGUCCAGCUUGUGAACCAACAACUUAUUUAUUCUAAUAGAUCUCAGUUACUCCUAACUACAGUAUCUGCCUCUACAUGUCAUAAGGGGUAAGAAAGAUGAUCUAUAUAACAGUCAACUGUGAAGUACUGUAGAUUAUUAUUAGGACAUUAAUCUUCCUACAAUUUAUGUUUCAUAUGUCCAGAAGAACGUGAUUUCUGUGGAAUGUAGGUGUAUAUGGGAAAACAGUGUCACAAAGUCAAAUAACUGAGAAAAAGAGGGUCAAAAAAGCUAGAUUUCUUUUGGUGUAUGACAUCACAGAAUCUUUGAUUUAAUAAUAUGCAUCAUGACUCCAUAAUAAUAUGCAGUGUUCCCAAAGUUGUUUGCUAAGAACCCUUUGUCCUGGAGCCUUCUGUGAAACUAAAUGUUCCUUGGAACUCAGAGUGGGAAUAGCACUCCUAGGUAUCUCCCAUAUCAGCUAUAUAAAUUUAUUUAAAAAAUAUAAUGGUAAUAUUUACUAUUCUUCUUCAUCUUGAAAGUAAAAAUAUAGUAGCUACUGCAUAUUAAGGAACACUCUCCCCCUUUCCCUCCCAAAUGUAGAGACCCAAAUUGUAUAAAGAUGACUUUAAACUGAAGACAUCUGAGAUACAGCUGAUGCAUAAAGACGUCUUCAGGGUCCCCCCAUCUGACUAAAGGCAGGGCCUUCCGAGAGGGAGGCAGCUACAGAUGCCCUCUGGGUGGGGGAGCCUCACUGCCGGGAAGAAGGCCGGCCACUUCCAGUUGGAUGAGAAAUUGCAUAGACAAACACGAUCACAAGCUAUCAUAUGUUCCAUUUGUCCCUCUAAAAGCCCACUGUCUCCCAAAAAAGGCCAUUUGUUUUCCCACAGAAGCCCUCUCGCCUCCCUCCCUUUUCUCUAUUAAGUUGGGCUCCAUACCCUCAUCCCCAGCUGUUCAGGGAGCCCUUUCAUCUGAAUGCUCCUGUGUGCAUGUGAAUAAAACUUGUUUUCUUUUCUUCUGUUAA